rnacentral:rRNA from 1 species
UACAUGGGGUGCAAACGUUGCUCGGAAUUAUUGGGCGUAAAGCGCACGUAGGUGGUCUCUUAAGUCGGAUGUGAAAGCCCUCGGCUCAACUGAGGAAGUGCAUCCGAAACUGAGAGGCUGGAGUAUGGUCAGGAGGUCGCGGGAAUUCCGGUGGUAGAGGUGAAAUUCGUAGAUAUCGGGAGGAACACCGGUGGCGAAGGCGGCGACCUGGGCCAAUCUGACACUGAGGUGCGAAAGCGUGGGGACAAACAGGAU